UUUGGCACAUUUGUGUUAUGCAGAGUGUGACCCACUCAGUGGCAAAGUUGUCUCCAUGUGGUUUAAAUAUUCAGUCUCUAUUCAAAACCAUUCACAUUGGAUGCAUUUCAUUCCUCUGUGGAGGACCAGCAACAGGCAUAUGCAUCACUUCAAUUCUCUGAAUCAGAUUCAAUAACUAUCUCAGCAUCUUUUAUAUGUAACUGAUGAUCCUUAUUGUCAGCUUUGAAGUUUCCUCAUAUUUUGUUCUGGUGAAUCUUCCCUCAUUGAAGCACAGCUCCUAGCCCUGACCAGGGUUUCACUCUAGAAGAAUAUUUUUUUUUGUCCCUUGUAGCACAAAAUUCCUAAUAAUUUAUGCCAUGAAGCCAGAGGAAAAACUGACACAUCCUUUAAAAUCCCCAUCUUCUCUCAAAAAUGCAACAAAAACCUCUACGUGGAAUUUCACACAGCUAAUUAAAUAAAUCAAUGAAGGAGAGUGGGCA
rnacentral:lncRNA from 1 species